GCCCCGCGCGAGCCGGGCUCCCCCGGCGCCCUCCCGCAUCCGCCGCUCCCGGCCCCGCCUGGCCGCAGGGCCCGGGUAGGAAGGACGGGACCGGCCCGGUGGAGACCUGGCCCCACUGCCAGAGGGUCCCUGGAGAUGCCAUUCUGAGCUGAGAAGCGGCUGCUCUGGCCGAGGCCGUUUGCGUGGCAGCGCUUGCAGGUCUGCGGGUUAGUCCCAUCCUCAAGCGACAUUCUGGGUCCCGGGCAGAAAAAGUCAGGCCACUGAAGGGGCCGCUGUGAGGACAGGGGUGAGGAGAAGGGGGUUGACUUUUCGGCCUGCCUUCGCGGCGUUCCUAAUACCCGAGCUGCCGUUUAACAUACGCGUGGCUCUUCAGCUCAGCCAAGUUCAUUUUUCUGUAUGUAGCUGAAAAUGAUUCUAGAAGCAAAACUGGCUGUCCGUGUCUGAAACAGGAAACUUGCAUUCUGGAGCAAAACUCUUUCUCAGUAGAGCAAAUCCUGCAACUGGUGUGGGCAGAAACCCAGUCCUCAGAAGUACAGGUAGAAACGUGGAGAUCCCAGCAGACCCCCGCAUCCUUCCUAACUAGGAAAUGAGCAGAGGCUGUGGCCGCACGCAGUCACGGGAGGCCUGGGUAAUUGUGUUCUCUUUCUUCUCCAUGUAUGGCCUAGAGCACCUCAUCCACUCAGAUGACUUCAUUCGUGGCUGCUACAGAAAUGUCAGCCUUUUCAGUGUAAUCUAUCUGGACAAUUCACUGGCAUUUCAGAUGGGAAGUGUUUUUUUAAAAAACUGAUUUUUAAAAACUUCAUCUCCUAUCCCAAACUCUCAGGCCUCUCUCCAAACCUUUCAAUUUUAAUCAAUGGCAUUUCCAUUCUCCUAGCAGACCACCCACCGUGAUCAUCUGGCUUUGUUCUUACAGAAGCCAGGUUGAAGCUUACCCCAUACCCAAGUAACCCCAUCCAAUGGGAAAUUCCAAAUCAAGGUCUCCAAAGAGGGAUUUCUGUGUUUAGCUGUUUACCCACCCAUUCGGCGAGUAGCAGACCCUGACUGUGCUAGACACUGGAAGAAUGGCCGAUGGAGGAAGAGGACCCACGCCAAAGUCGAGCAGUAAAGGAAAGAGACAAACAUAUAAACGGGAGACUAUUGUAUGAUGUGAAAUGUCUGAGGCUUGGUGUAGUUGCUUCAUUUUGGUAACUCUUCUCAUUCAAGAAAUGAGUAUAAAUUCCAGAGACUCCAAACCUUGAAUUCAACUGAAACCAACCCCCAAGUAAAGGAGAAGAUGCUCAGGAUGGCUGGAGUUUGAACCUAGUCAACUGGUAGGUGAGUGUGUGUGUUUGUGAUGGGGGGAAAAUCUGGGUUUUGUUUGAAUUCCCAAGACUGCCCUAGAUGAGGAAGAAACUAAUACAGACUCUUCCUAAUCUGAA